rnacentral:sRNA from 1 species
CACAAACACCAAGCAUGCAAAUGCUGCACAGACAUAAAUACAGGCAAGACAGGCGUACACAUAAACAAACAAAGUAAUUUUCAAAAGACUUCUUGGUGGGCCUCGUGACAAGUGCUAAGACUCUAUCCUCAGUCUGAAAUCCGAUUCUUUGUUCUAUAGGGCCCUUUCUUCUUCUAAUCUACCACUAACGUGCUUUUUCAAACCGUGACAAUCUACCUAACACUCCUCCUGUCAUAUAUUUGUAAAAAUGCAUUCGUGACCUCAAUCUCAUGACAGACAGACACGUGAGGAGGGAAAGUGGCCACCGUUCUCAAGGCAAACACUUAGUAACUACAACAAACCCAUCACUCAGGAGCCCGUCGACAUGGAAACCGGAUGACAACAACCGAGCCUGCCUUCUUUCAACAGCUCUACAGUGAGGCUAGGGGAAGGUGGAAUCACCUGCUUGCCUCACCGCUCUCACCCAAACAAAGCGUGACACACAGAGGAAUGAUGGCUGUCCACUUUCCUCUGUACAUGGUUCUACCCAGGAAGAUGCUCUGCGGCCACACUCGCUCGCUUGCUCAGAACAGCAGAAGCGAUUAGAGAGAAUAAAGCCCAGAUCUGGGCAGAACAGUUCCCCAGCAAGUGAUCCAGCUGCUGAGUGGAAGGCUGGAGACCAAGAAUGGGAAGCCUGGAACCUCAUGACCAUUCUUAUGUAGCUGCAGACGGUCACAGUGCCUAAGAAAGUCAUGGCUCCCUCCCUGGUGAGAGACAGGCAACCGGCCCAAGGGAUGGUGGGAUAUGAAACCCUAAUGAAGUGGCCAUGCCUGUGGUAUCUAAAAGUACAUGAAAGUUAUCCAAGAGAUCUUAAUGAAGAGGACAUACCUGACGAGACAUACUCUGUAACCUUACAUCUGGUGGGGUUUUUCAUCCAGCUGUGGCAUGGGAGAGAAUCUUGUACACGGAAGGGUUUAAAAUGGCCACUGCUCACA